rnacentral:rRNA from 1 species
ACGAACGCUGGCGGCGUGCUUAACACAUGCAAGUCGAACGGUGAAGCGCCUUCCUUUUUGGUGGGUGUGGAUGAGUGGCGAACGGGUGAGUAACACGUGAGUAACCUGCCCCCUUCUUCUGGAUAACCGCAUGAAAGUGUGGCUAAUACGGGAUAUUCUGGGUCUGUCGCAUGAUGGGUCUGGGAAAGAUAUUGUUUCGGUGGGGGAUGGGCUCGCGGCCUAUCAGCUUGUUGGUGGGGUGAUGGCCUACCAAGGCGGUGACGGGUAGCCGGCCUGAGAGGGUGGACGGUCACACUGGGACUGAGACACGGCCCAGACUCCUACGGGAGGCAGCAGUGGGGAAUAUUGCACAAUGGGCGCAAGCCUGAUGCAGCGACGCCGCGUGAGGGAUGGAGGCCUUCGGGUUGUGAACCUCUUUCGCCAGUGAAGUAGGCCUGCCUCGUUUGUGGGUGGGUUGACGGUAGCUGGAUAAGAAGCGCCGGCUAACUACGUG